rnacentral:lncRNA from 10 species
CCUAUGUUGCCCAAGCUGGUCCUGAACCCCUAGCCUCAAGUAAUCCUCCUGCUUCAACCUACCAAAGCAUUGGGAUUACAAGUUUGACCCACCAUGGUCAGUCCAGGGUAGGAAAUGGAAUCUUAACAACUAUCACACGAGCUUUGAGGGGAUCCUUCUCCAGAUGAGCCUUCAGUUGCGACCUCAGCCUUGGACAUCAUCUGCAUCUGGAUUCCUGACCCAGAGCAACUGAAUUUUAUGGAACCUUGUAUUCUGUUGAAUACCAGAAUUAUAUCAGCAAUCCCCAAGUCACCAAAUGGGCAUCAUCAUGACAGCAGGUUUGGAAUAGUUCACCAGUGAAGUCAUCUCAACCAGCACAGGGCCUUGACUCCUAACAACAAUCACACGAACUUGGAAGAGGAUCCUUCCCCAGCUGAAACUUCACUUGAGACCUUCUCAUUGGCCAUCAUCGACAUCUGGAUUCAUGAUACAGAGAAACUUGAGUAAUGAUGACAAUAGCAGUCCAGCCUGCAUGGAUGCUGACAUGGAUGCUGUCUCCCAUUCUUACCACUGGAUGUCAAGAACUGCUAGAUGCGAUCCAGCCAGUCUGUACUCGACUCUCAGUUCCAUCUUCUCAACUCACAGUGUCUUCCAAAGUCCAUGCCACACCACAGCCUGGAAGAUCUCCCAAGGCUUUGAAUAACUCACCAGUGAAGUCAUCUUGACCUGGACAGAAAUUGAAUCCUCCCAAGAAUCCCAGGAGCUUGGAAGGGGAUCCUUCCCCAGAUGAGCCUUCCCUUGAAAUCUCUGCCAGGCAUCUGACCCAGAGAAACUGCCACACCACUUUACAGAGGAACACCAGGGAUGUUCCAGGAACCAUGCCCACAAAGCUUACUAAGCCAUGGGACUGCAUACUACACUCCCAAGGACAUCCACAAAGUCAAGACUCUUGCUUUUUCAGACCAUGAUCAUGGACUGCAUUCUCCAUACCAUGUUCAUAUCUUCAGUGGGAAAACAAACUCCUGAGUCCUGGAGACCUAGAAUGAGAGACACAGCUGACCUUGACCGUAUUUCUCACUUCUGAGAAGAUUGUAGCAGUAAUUCAGAAUGUUUCCAAACAAAGUCACUAAAACAACACGCAUUCAAGAAGUGGG